AAAAAGUAGAAUUUAUGUGGAGUUUUGGAUAUUUCCUCCUUAUAUAUAAAUGGAGUUUUUGGAAGGCUUGAGGCAUGAGGUGCCAGUAAGCCGGCAAAAAAUUUUGGCAAAUCCACUCAGUUUUCUCGGCAGAAUGAGAUUCAACGAUGAUGAGCAGAUUUUUAUCCCUCAAGACUCAGCAAUCGUACCGGGAAGAGUCCAGCUGAUAAGCAUAAAUAAUAAUAUGGUACCACUUGAAGAAAGCAAGCUAAGGGUGAUGCUGGAGAUCACCGGGGGAGAUUCCAGCCAUGACCGACCCGGAUUGGAUCUUGUGGCAGUAUUAGAUGUCAGCGGAAGCAUGGCCGGAGCCAAGAUAGCAAAAGCAAAAACUGCCAUGCUAUUUAUGAUCAAGAAACUUAGCUCUAUUGAUCGUUUCUCUGUUGUGACAUUCUCCGGGGAUGCCAUAAGGUUGUGCCCAUUGCGCCAGACAUCCGAAAAUUCUCGAAAGGAACUUGAAAAUCUGAUCAAUGGUUUAAAGGCCAGCGGUAACACCAACAUCACUGCUGGUCUUCAAACUGGCUUAAAAGUGAUUAAUGAUCGUAGUCUUAGACGCGGGCGUUCAGUUGGCAUCAUGCUUUUGUCCGAUGGGGAGCAGAACGCUGGUGGUGAUGCAGCCCAGGUUCCAAUCGGCAAAGUGCCAGUACACACAUUCGGUUUCGGCAAAAAUCAACAAUCUAAGGUUACUUAAUUUGAAAUAAUAUUUAACCAAUUUCCUCUGUUAUACUCUUGUUAGCUAGCUCCCCUGGCACUAUCCUUAUGGCUCCUGUGCCGUUUUCUCCAAUGCCUCAUCGAGAGCUCAGUGGCUUUGCUGUCUUGUGUUCUCGUACUAGUGUUGGCAAUGUUAUAUCACCAGGAGCUCAUCUUUGUUUUUGCAGCAGAUCUUGCGCCGGAUGAUUUUCUGCAGUUGCUCCUGCCUUUCGGCUUCUUUGUCACUUAAUUUCUACCCUGGUUUGCCUGCAGCAGCUCUUAGGCCUGUAUGUUUAUUUUGGUUUUGUAUUGGUUUUGACUUCGUUUGUUUUGUUGCUUGUCUUACUCUCUUGGUGUACUUUAUAAUUUCAUUUAAUAAAAUUAUCUUGCAUAAUAAUAAUAAUAAUUACAUAUUAAUUAAGGAAAAGUUGUUUGUAUAACUUUCUAAGUAGGUCAUGUUUGCACUCGGUUUAAUAGGUGCUCAAGGCUAUUGCAGAUAAUAGCAUUGAAGGAACGUUCUCAGAAGUUCAAAACACAGACAACUUGAGCAAAGCCUUUUCCCAGUGUUUGGCCGGACUUCUCACCCGGGUUGUUGAGGACCUGAAGCUGACAGUCACACGAAUUGAAGACGAAUCGACAAUAGAGCAGGUAAUUGCCGGAAGAUAUCCGCAAUCUAGGGACGAUUCUGCUGGCUCUGUAACUGUUACUUUUGGUGGUCUCUAUGCCAAAGAGGUGCGCAAGGUCAUAGUGGACCUUCUUCUUCCGGCUGUUGAUCAGGAACGGGGCGCAGAUGUUCUCGAAAUUACUUACUCAUAUAGCUUUCAGGGAAAACCGUUUGAGGCCAACCCUGCGAUCCUCACUGUACGCCGCACCGGGAAAGCCGCAGAUCAAGAAGAAAGGCCAGAGGUGAAGAAUGAGGAGACCCGUCUCCUGACUGCAAGUACGAUAAAAGAGGCAAGAGAAAUGGCUGACAUAAAUGAACUUCGCAAUGCUCUGUACAUGCUUUUUGAAUCCCACAUCUCAUUGGAGGAUGCGGAUGUUGAAUCUAACCCAUUGGUUAAGAUGCUGAAGUCCGAGCAGCAACAGCUCUUGCAAUUGAUGAAAUCACAAGAAAUUUAUGAAAAGCAAGGGCGUCCUUUUGCACUCUCCUCUGAGACUUCCCAUGAUCGCCAGCGUUUCGCUUCAAGAGGUGAUGUGGAAAGCCUGCGGCUAUUUGCCACUCCACGGAUGGACAAAUACCUUAAGCAAGCCAAGUCGUUUGACGAGGAUCCCAGCAAGCCGCUGCCCUCGGUGGAUGAGGAUGAGAAGGAAGAACUCGCUGCCAAUCCCCUUGCUCCCAUCGCUGGUGCUAUUAGCUUCUACCUUCAGUUGGCCAUGAAGUCUCUCCAAGCCAUUGAAAAAAUAAUCAAUUGAGGCCCUUGAUUACUUGGUUAUUUCUAAUUUAUGUUUUGCUUUUGCAUUUCAGUAAGUUAGACCAUUGUGUAUCUUGCCCUAGGCAAACUCAAUGCUGCUCCUUAUGGUAAUUAUUGGUUUGUGCAAGCUUGUCGGUUUUCAUAUAAUUAAUCUUUGAGUGCCACAAAAUUAUGAGAAAUAAUUGGCUUUAUGAAAGCUCCUUUGUGUUGGCAAUUUGGCAUUAUCUUGAAAAGGCA
rnacentral:misc_RNA from 1 species